CUUCCGAAGCACAUCCCUGUCUCUGCUCCGUGGGUGUGUGUGGAGGGGCCGAUGGAGCCGGCCGCACCGGCGACCAGUUUUCCUCGACGCCACCCCCGGCGCUGCCAACCCUCCUCCCCCCGCCUCCCUUCUCUUCCCUGUGCCCAGACUCUUGUUCGGGGCCUUGAAACAGUGAGCUGUCUUUGUUCGAAAUACAGGUGAACGGCAAUCAUGUGAUUAACACACACACACAUAAAAAGCUUUUUAACAGCGCCCGCCCGGCCUCAGAACCGCCCAGAGAGGAGCCGCCCUGGAUGGACAGAGGGCCGAGGGCCGAGCAUCCAGCUGGUCGUCCGGCUGCCCAGCAGUCUCCGACGCCGUGGCUGCCCGUCCGCUGCCCGCCUGCCUGGCAUCUCUUGAUCCUCCCGGAUCCAAGCCAGAUACCACAUUGCUUUUAGUUGUCCUGUCUCCGUCUCCUCCCCUGUGACAGUUCCUCAGGUAAUCUUUCCUUGUGUUUCAUGACCUUGACAUUUUUGAAGAGCACUUGUCAGGCAUUUUGUAGAAUGUCCCGCAAUGUGCGUUUUUCUCAUAUUUUCUCAGUAUUAGACUGAAGGUAUGGGUUUUGGGGGGUUGUCCUACUCUUUGCAUCAUGUUAGGGGAUACAUAGUGAUAUUGAUGAUGUCAAUGUGAUAUUGGUGAUGUCAAGAGUGAUCAGUGGUGAUGUCAACCUUGGUCACUGGGUUAAGGUGGUGUUGGCCACAUCCUCCACUGUCAAGAUUCCAUUUUCCUUUUUCCUUCUCUGUCAGAAGUGAAUCACUGAGUCUAGCUCGCAGAGGAGAGGGGAAUUAAGCUCCACCUCCAGCACCACAGGGUUUCCCAUUGCAUAUUGGUAAUUUCUUUCUCUGACAGUGAGAAGCCUGGCUCUUGUUAUCAAUUGUAUAUUUACCUAUUUGUCCAAACUGAGUGUAC